rnacentral:rRNA from 1 species
UCUCCUGGAAACGGGUGGUAAUGCCGGAUGCUCCAGUUGAUCGCAUGGUCUUCUGGGAAAGCUUUCGCGGUAUGGGAUGGGGUCGCGUCCUAUCAGCUUGACGGCGGGGUAACGGCCCACCGUGGCUUCGACGGGUAGCCGGCCUGAGAGGGCGACCGGCCACAUUGGGACUGAGAUACGGCCCAGACUCCUACGGGAGGCAGCAGUGGGGAAUAUUGCACAAUGGGCGCAAGCCUGAUGCAGCGACGCCGCGUGAGGGAUGGAGGCCUUCGGGUUGUAAACCUCUUUUAUCGGGGAGCAAGCGAGAGUGAGUUUACCCGUUGAAUAAGCACCGGCUAACUACGUGCCAGCAGCCGCGGUAAUACGUAGGGUGCAAGCGUUAUCCGGAAUUAUUGGGCGUAAAGGGCUCGUAGGCGGUUCGUCGCGUCCGGUGUGAAAGUCCAUCGCUUAACGGUGGAUCCGCGCCGGGUACGGGCGGGCUUGAGUGCGGUAGGGGAGACUGGAAUUCCCGGUGUAACGGUGGAAUGUGUAGAUAUCGGGAAGAACACCAG